rnacentral:rRNA from 1 species
CAGUAACACGUGGAUAACCUGCCCUUGGGACCUGCAUAACCCCGGGAAACUGGGGAUAAUUCGGGAUAACGCAUAUGUGCUGGAAUGCUUUAUGCGUAAAAAGGAUUCGUCCGCCCAAGGAUGGGUCUGCGGCCUAUCAGGUAAUAGUCGGUGUAAUGUACCUACUAGCCGACAACGGGUACGGGUUGUGAGAGCAAAAGCCCGGAGAUGGAUUCUGAGACAUGAAUCCGGGCCCUACGGGGCACAGCAGGAGCGAAAACUUUACAAUGCGGGAAACCGUCAUAAGGGGACACCGAGUGUCGGCAUCAUAUGCUGGCUGUCCAGGUGUGUAAAAUACACCUGUUAGCAAGGGCCGGGCAAGACCGGUGCCAGCCGCUGCGGUAACACCGGCGGCCCGAGU